GCCCCUUCAAGAGCUAAGCCAAUGUGAGUGCCGGAGAUAAGCGCCGGAUGGGGUCC
rnacentral:sRNA from 13 species